CCUACGGGGGGCAGCAGUGGGGAAUAUUGGACAAUGGGCGAAAGCCUGAUCCAGCCAUGCCGCGUGUGUGAAGAAGGCCUUCGGGUUGUAAAGCACUUUCAGUGGGGAAGAAAGCCUUGGGGCUAAUACCCUCGAGGAAGGACAUCACCCACAGAAGAAGCACCGGCUAACUCCGUGCCAGCAGCCGCGGUAAUACGGAGGGUGCGAGCGUUAAUCGGAUUUACUGGGCGUAAAGCGCGCGUAGGCGGUCUGAUAAGCCGGUUGUGAAAGCCCCGGGCUCAACCUGGGAACGGCAUCCGGAACUGUCAGGCUAGAGUGCAGGAGAGGAAGGUAGAAUUCCCGGUGUAGCGGUGAAAUGCGUAGAGAUCGGGAGGAAUACCAGUGGCGAAGGCGGCCUUCUGGACUGACACUGACGCUGAGGUGCGAAAGCGUGGGUAGCAAACAGGAUUAGAUACCCCUGUAGUC
rnacentral:rRNA from 1 species